AUUGAACGCUGGCGGCAUGCCUUACACAUGCAAGUCGAACGGCAGCACGGGUGCUUGCACCUGGUGGCGAGUGGCGAACGGGUGAGUAAUACAUCGGAACAUGUCCUGUAGUGGGGGAUAGCCCGGCGAAAGCCGGAUUAAUACCGCAUACGAUCUACGGAUGAAAGCGGGGGACCUUCGGGCCUCGCGCCAUAGGGUUGGCCGAUGGCUGAUUAGCUAGUUGGUGGGGUAAAGGCCUACCAAGGCGACGAUCAGUAGCUGGUCUGAGAGGACGACCAGCCACACUGGGACUGAGACACGGCCCAGACUCCUACGGGAGGCAGCAGUGGGGAAUUUUGGACAAUGGGCGAAAGCCUGAGCCAGCAAUGCCGCGUGUGUGAAGAAGGCCUUCGGGUUGUAAAGCACUUUUGUCCGGAAAGAAAUCCUUGGCCCUAAUACGGUCGGGGGAUGACGGUACCGGAAGAAUAAGCACCGGCUAACUACGUG
rnacentral:rRNA from 1 species